rnacentral:hammerhead_ribozyme from 1 species
AUCCAGAUGAUGAUUCUCAAAUAGGAAGAAACACACGUCCUGGAU